GUCAUCUUUGUUGUUUUUUUGGUUUGAACUCAAUUAUAAGCUUAACAUAUUAUGUGUUCCACAGAAUGUGUUGUGCAAACUGAAGAGGAAGAUAUCACCAGAGAGGAAGGACACUAUCCAUGUCCUGACAAUGAGGUGGCAUUACCAACCCCUGAUGAUGAACACAUCCCGCCACCCGAGAGACUGGCAACACCUUUAAAAGACAUGGAUGCAUCAUCACGACAUCGUGCAGUGAGACAUUCUUCCAAUGGUAAAGCUGCCCAGAAAAGGUGACCCUGGACACAGAAAGAGGUGAAGGCUGUCGAGAAGCACAUGAAGCGAUUCAUCCCUUCUGGUAUUGUGCCAGGAAAAAGAGACUGUUUUAAAUGUUUGAGGGACGAACCGGAAGCUCUCCAAAACCGGGAAUGGCAAGCAUUGAAGUUCUAUGUGUACAACCGCAUUACGGCCUACAAAAGGAGA